CUUAAUUGAUUUUAUUAAAUAAAGUUUUUUAACCGAAAACAUUUGAUUUUAUUUUUAGUUGGAUACGUUUGUCUUAUAUUUAGUCAGGUAGACUAGUUUAAAACUAUAUUUACGUUGUGAUAAAUUAUUCGGUUGUGUUUAUAUCUGUUUUAUGGCUUGUUACAUUAUAUUAGUUUCUAGGCUAUGAUGUCUAGUAGUAGAAAACAUCUAUGUUAUAGAGUUAUUAAGAAAGGGUUAAAAUUACCCAGUUUUUGUAAUUGUGUUACAACUUUAUUUUAUAUAAAUAUGUAGAUUUUUUUGAUAAGCCAUUUAUAUUUAACUAUUAGGAUUAUAAUUAUGAUUAAAUAAGUAAUAUUAAUAUAAAUUUUGUUUCUCGGAGAUUGCCUGUCUGUUUAUUAAAAACAUUUCCACAUGAAGUUAUUAUGUGGUAGUACCUGCUCUAUGCUUUAAGUAAAUGGCCGCAGUAUCUUGACUGUGCGAAGGUAGCAUAAUUAAUUGCCUUAUAAUUGAAGGCUUGUUUGAAUGGUUUGACAAGGUAGUAUACAACAUGGUUUAUUUUAUUGAAAUUAAUUAUGGGGGCACAGAAUCCCCUUAAUUUAAUUAGACGGAAAGACCCCGGGAUCUUUUAUUUUUGUCUGGGGCAGAUUACGAUUUUUCAUUAGUAAAUUUGACCCUAAUGGUGCAUUGGUGUAAGUUACCCCGGGGAUAACAGUGUAAUAGUUUAUUAGAGAUCUUAUCGAAUUGACUGUUUGCCACCUCGAUGUUGACUUAGGUUUAGGCUUGGGCGCAGUAGUUUAAGUCUUUGGUCUGUUCGACCAUAGUUUACCUCC
rnacentral:rRNA from 1 species